AAUAGAUACCCGGGUAGUCCACGCCGUAAACGAUGAGUGCUAAGUGUUAGAGGGUUUCCGCCCUUUAGUGCUGCAGCUAACGCAUUAAGCACUCCGCCUGGGGAGUACGGUCGCAAGACUGAAACUCAAAGGAAUUGACGGGGGCCCGCACAAGCGGUGGAGCAUGUGGUUUAAUUCGAAGCAACGCGAAGAACCUUACCAGGUCUUGACAUCCUCUGACUACUCUAGAGAUAGAGCGUUCCCCUUCGGGGGACAGAGUGACAGGUGGUGCAUGGUUGUCGUCAGCUCGUGUCGUGAGAUGUUGGGUUAAGUCCCGCAACGAGCGCAACCCUUGAUCUUAGUUGCCAGCAUUUAGUUGGGCACUCUAAGGUGACUGCCGGUGACAAACCGGAGGAAGGUGGGGAUGACGUCAAAUCAUCAUGCCCCUUAUGACCUGGGCUACACACGUGCUACAAUGGAUGGUACAAAGGGCUGCAAGACCGCGAGGUCAAGCCAAUCCCAUAAAACCAUUCUCAGUUCGGAUUGUAGG
rnacentral:rRNA from 1 species